rnacentral:rRNA from 1 species
CCUACGGGCGGCAGCAGUGGGGAAUAUUGCACAAUGGGGGAAACCCUGAUGCAGCGACGCCGCGUGAGUGAAGAAGGAAUUCGUUAUGUAAAGCUAUAUCAGCAGGGGAGAAAAUGACGGUAACUGAGUAAGAAGCCCCGGCCAAAUACGUGCCAGCAGCCGCGGGAAAACGUAGGGGGGAAGCGUUAUCCGGAUUUACCGGGGGUAAAGGGAGCGUAGAGGGCAGUGCAAGUCUGGAGGGAAAGGCGGGGGCCCAACCCCCGGACUGCUCUGGAAACUGUACGGCUUGAGUGCAGGAGAGGUACGUGGAAUUCCUAGUGUAGCGGUGAAAUGCGUAGAUAUUAGGAGGAACACCAGUGGCGAAGGCGGCUUACUGGACUUUUACUGACGUUGAGGCUCGAAAGCGUGGGGAGCAAACAGGAUUAGAUACCCUUGUAGUC